AAGGUGGGGCUAAUGACUGGGGUGAAGUCGUAACAAGGUAGCCGUACCGGAAGGUGCGGCUGGAUCACCUCCUAACAGGGAGACAACAAAAUGUUUAAUUUUAUUAUUUUGUCACCUUAGGUCGAUCGGUAUCUCAUGUUCUUAUUUAUUAAGAAUUUCAUUUCCUAAGUUUUUCUAGGUCACACCCAUUAUUUUUCCUGGGCCAUUAGCUCAGGUGGUUAGAGCGCACCCCUGAUAAGGGUGAGGUCCCUGGUUCAAGUCCAGGAUGGCCCAUAUCUCUAUGUUGGGGGUAUAGCUCAGUUGGUAGAGCGCCUGCUUUGCAAGCAGGAUGUCAGCGGUUCGAGUCCGCUUACCUCCACUGAUUACCACCUCUUCCGUAAUUUGUAGAAAGGAAAUGUUUUGAGUUGUGAUCAAAUUCUGAACGAAUCUAGCUUCCUAAUGAAAUCAUUAAGAUGCUGGACUCAUUGAAUUAAUUUCAUUGUUUUCAGAGAACCUUGACAACUGCAUAGAUUAUUUUUAAAGACAAUAAGCAUCUUUAAUGAUGCGGAUUUAUUAUUUGUGCGAAUGCAUUAAUAACAAUUCUAUUAAGCUGAUGCUUCAAUAUUGAAGUUAUUGGUCAAGCUACAAAGGGCUCACGGAGGAUACCUAGGCACACAGAGGCGA
rnacentral:misc_RNA from 1 species